GGAGUGGUGAGAAAGGGAAGUGCAUAAAAGAGCAUGCCACUAGUUUAAAUGGACGCGUGCUUUGAAGAAGUUGUGCGCACGGCCGUGCAGGGACAUUAAAGACGGUGAUCUCGGCAGUAACGGCAGUGCGUGAAUUUUGAGUGCUGCGGAUGCCGAUGACUCAUCGCGUGUGUGAUUACAACUUUAAUCAAUGAGCCCCACGUUGUUGACGGCGAUCUGUUGUGAAAACUAUCAAAAGCACGACGACCAAAAAUAGACAGCGCAAGGCUUUUCUGAACAACAGGAACAGGAGUCUAGAACUGAAUGAAAACAAGAAUCCACUAUAAUUGACGGCAUGCGCCGUUGGACCUUGUUUAGCCGUAUGAAGGGCCCGAGAGGCCCUUGGCCCUGUCCACGCCCAGGCGCUCUCCUUGCCCAGGUCCUCCUUACGCCCAGAACGCUCGCCCAGGAUUCGUCGCUUUUGCCCCGGGACCAAGGCCUUAAUGGAGAUCCGCGAAUAUCAGAAAAGCACCCGAGUCCUCUUGCCACAGCCGCCCUUCUUACACCUGGUGAGGCCUCACUAGCCCGAUGGCGGCCAUAGAUUGAGAUCCUUCCCCGCACGCAGUUCCCUGAGGUGUGCCAGACUGUCAGCAGAUGCGGCCGAAGCAUUGUUGGUGUUGCUGUUUUGGGACGCCAACUUGUGCGCCAUCCACGCCAAGCGGGGCAAUUUGUUUCCCAAGGACCUCUACGUGGCCCAUAGGAUUCAAUGGUCCAACGCCAUCUGACCACGACGACCGUCCGCCAUUUUUGUUUGUGUCCAAAUUUGUUUUGUAUUUUGUCAAUAAAGGGCACUAGAACGAAGAAGCGUCUCGUGGCUCGGCCUUGCCCACUUCCUCAUCGGGCGACUACUAACCUUUCUGACACACUAUCAAAAUGCAUUUUCUCCCAUGCGGGUAUGAGC